AACGAACGCUGGCGGCAUGCCUAACACAUGCAAGUCGAACGAGACCUUCGGGUCUAGUGGCGCACGGGUGCGUAACGCGUGGGAAUCUGCCCUUGGGUUCGGAAUAACAGCGAGAAAUUGCUGCUAAUACCGGAUGAUGACGUAAGUCCAAAGAUUUAUCGCCCAAGGAUGAGCCCGCGUAGGAUUAGCUAGUUGGUGAGGUAAAGGCUCACCAAGGCGACGAUCCUUAGCUGGUCUGAGAGGAUGAUCAGCCACACUGGGACUGAGACACGGCCCAGACUCCUACGGGAGCAGCAGUGGGGGAAUAUUGGACAAUGGGGGGCAACCCUGAUCCAGCAAUGCCGCGUGAGUGAUGAAGGCCUUAGGGUUGUAAAGCUCUUUUGCCAGGGAGAUGAUGACUGUACCUGGAGAAUAAGCCCCGGCUAACUUCGUGCCAGCAGCCGCGGUAAU
rnacentral:rRNA from 1 species